UGAAGGAGGCUGUGGCCCCAUGGGAAGCCCACACUGGAGCAGACUCCUGGCAGGACCUGUGGAGAGAGGAGCCCACACCACAGCAGGUUUGCUGGCAGGACUUGUGAUCCUGUGGGGGACCCAUGCUGGAGCAGUCUGCUCCCAAAGGUCUGCACCCCAUAGGACAGACUCACAUUGGACUGUCUCCUGUGAGAGGGACUCCAUGUUGGAGCAGGGGAACAAUGAGAGGAGUCCUCCCCCUAAGGAUGAAGAAGCAGCAGAGACAACAUGUGAUGAACUGACCAUAACCCCCAUUCCCCAUCUCCCCAUGCCGCUGAGGGGGACAGAGGUUGAAGCCAGGUGUGGUGCAUUUUACUGGAAUUCUUGCCUUUAUUGGAGAUGGAACCUUGUCUUUCUUUCACCAGUUCUGUUGUUUACUGUCUGACUGCAGGUGUGAUGGUCCCAAGACAUGUGGCGCAAACCAUCUGGGCCUCUGCGUCACAAUAAGCAGACCUGAAUGUUGGAAGAGUCUCAUCUUGUAAAGUGUUAAGUACACUAAAAUAUAGCCUUCUGAACUCUGAGGUCUCUGCUUCUCUGUAUGUUUUAUUUUCUUCAUUCCCUAACUUAAUUUUUGCAUCUGUUCCUUUGCUGUCCAUCUGAAUGUUGCAGUCAUUGUUACUUAAAGACAUGGAUUAGGCACUUAUUUCCAGCACAGGUUUCUGUCACUGUCCUCGCUGGAAUUUCUUGGAGAAGAGGAUGUGUAUUGCUUGUGUUCAUAACAAUCUCUAUCCAGGGGUCUUUUUUUUAUUGUGGUCUUGGGCACGCAAGCUUUUUCUCUUAUUCCAGUUUUGCCUUUUUCCUUAAGCGUGCAAGGAGCUUUGCUCCAGUAUCAGUUAUGUUCUCUUGUUCUUGUUGAUCUAGUGUGCUUUUCAGCAUCAGUGUUUGUAGUUGUAAGGUGCCCGUUUUGGAUCUUUGAGUCACUGCGUCACAAUCGUCAUGGCUUUUUGUCAGCUGACCACCUCUAUAAUUCCCUAAGGGGCUUUGUAGGUAAGGAGGUAGUUUGUGUCAUUUGUUUUGAGUGUACUACACCAUAUCUUACUCUGGUCUCGAUGGUCCCAUUUUUUUGUGCUAGGCGGGCAUGUUGGUAGCCAUACAAAGGAUCUUGUGUGCCUUGACUCAUCAGCAUCAUGCUAACCGAGCGCUUCCUCUCUUGCAUUAGAUGCUAACUGCACAUAUUUCUCUUAUGCGCAUCACUAAUUAGAUGACGAGGCAUUUGGCUAUUUAUUGAACAUAUAUAAAAUUAUACAUGUUCCUUUUCCGGGUUAAGUAUAGGUGGCCCGUCCACCUUAGUCAAAUCAGGUAAAUUUAGAUAUCUCAUUAAGAGAGAAGACGCGUCAUGACAUCGAGUCCCAAAUCGUCCCUACAUACUAGAUAGAAUCCCUCCCUAACCGUCGUGAGCAGGUUAGCUAUACCCUAGAUGAUGGCCCCUCUUUAUUAAUUAAUAGUCAUUACAAUACACAGUAUAAGUACAUUACAAUUUCAAGAUCUUACAAUAGACCGCGCUUGACUCAAACACGUGUAUAAUGUCCACAGAUGUAAAUAAUGCUCGAUUCGAUAAACGACGAGCCACUUUAUCCUGUCGGGAAUUUGAGAGUCCCAGCUCUGCAAGUAAUUCAUAAUUGCCAUGAUGCCACUUCCCACAUGCACCGAGAGGAAAUCCCAUGAAUUUGAUAUUAUUAGUAUUCGUCAGUUCUCACCUUGAUUUCGAAGGUGUUGAUAUUUUCUCACUUUUUCCAUUGCCGCUUCUGCCAGCGAAGUGUCUUUGCUUUCAUAUCUUACGGUGACAUCUACCACGAUAGCUUGACCUUCUUUUACAAAUAUUAAAUCUGGUUUAAAUAGUUGGGGAAAAAGAAAGGAGAUCUUUAACUUGGACCAACAGAAUCACACUGUUCUUCGUGCAGUGCCAAAGCAGUACAGUGUCAUAAAUUUGAAAAAAAUGAGUCUUACCACAGGUUUUAUGAAGUGUUACUUUGAUGCAGUGUUUUGUAAGCUGAGGGUGCAGUGUGUUGAUAACCUUGUUGUUUUAAAUUUUUUUUAUAAUAAUUUUUUAUUUCCUUUGUUUUAGUUCUGGCAAGGUACAAGGUUAUAUGUGAGACCUAAUUAAAAUCCAUUCCAGAUUAAGCUCAUUAAUACUUCUAUGUUGACAAGUACUUGGGUUGUAAAUAUACUGCUAUUAGUGCUAUGCGAGAGAAAAUUAUCUCAAAUGAAAAUACAGAGUAUGGUAAUAAUAAUGAUAUCUAAGUAUUUAGAGGGAUACUCUUUGAAUGAAUAAUAUUAAAGACCAGCAAGUAUCUAAAUCUAACCUAAUCUAAACUAAAUCUAACUAAUCAUCAUUGGAAUUUCCAUUCAAAGGCAAGGAAAUUGUGUUUUUAUUCCAUAUUGCAUAAAGGACUUAGAAUAUGGUUCUUCUGUAUUAAAAAUAGUGUUGAUUGACUAAAAACUUGGCCUUUCAGGUUUUUUAGAUAUAAGUGGUUAGCAUUUUCUUUAAUUAGCUUGAUUUCCUAAGGAAACCAGGCUUUUGAGCAGCCCUCUGCAUGCACGUAUGUUUGUGUUUGCAUGUAUGUGUAUCACAAAAAGAACAGGAACAAGUAAGAGUCAUUACAUUUGGCACCGCUUGGAAUAAUUUUGAGACCAUUAAUGGUUAUCGGUGAAGCUAGUCACCUUUGCUAUUUAAUUUUCUUGCUUACCUAAGAACCACACAGCUGUAGCUGAAAAUCUUGCUGUUCAUAUUCAUCAAAAGAAAUUUUCACUCAGACUGUGUUUCACAUGAUAUGAGAACUAGGACUAUAUUUUAGAAUACUCUAGUUUUUUUCUUCUAAACCUCCCCCCCCCCCCACAGUUAAUGAUGGGAGUAAUUCUCUCUUAGCCACUCAUAAGAGGUCACAAGUGAAUUGAAUAGAAUACGAAAUAUCUCUAUCCCCAAAGCAAACAAAGCACACAAAUAAAUAAAAUUUCAGUCUAAGAUAUUUACCUAAAAUUGCUCAUUUGUAAAAACAGAAAUUUGUAAAAUACCCACCUUUAGUAGGUAGGUACUUUCCAGUGUCACUGGAAACUGGGGUUGGAGUUCAUUGUAUUCUGGAUGUAUAUCUACCGUCACCACCAAUAUGUAAAUUUACCAUAGUCAAGUAAGAUGUAUAACAAAAGAGCAUAAAUUAGAGUGCAGUCUUGUAGAAUGUUACUGUUUGGCCUGUUUAAAGUAAUUAUAUAUUACUGUGUAAAUGUUUUACAAAUUAAUAAUCCUUGUUUCACUUUGAGACAAUUUCAGGGUUUUGUUGUUAGGACAAUAGGGACUUGUCUUAGAGAUACUUUGACAUUUUUAUGGGUUUGAUUUUAAAAUUUUAUCACUCUUCUAGACCUGUUGUUCUCUGAAAUACUCCCAUAGGCAACAGAAAACCACCAUUUAAUGUAGGGAAAUAAUCAAGGAAGAAAGCUUUCUGAGAUGAGUGGUAUAUUAGGGACUAUGAUUUUUUUAGCAUCUUAUUACCUAAAAAUGAAAGGAUAUGAAAACUCAGAAUGAAUAAGCUUUGACUUAUGUGCACACUGGUGGUUCCUUCAUUUUUCUUUUGUGGCUUAUAAUGCUUUGUAAAAUGUCCAUACCGUUUUCCAGGAAAAAAAAAAAUCAGGUUUUGAUUUAAAAGAUAUUUUUAGUAUGUAAGAUUUUGGUUUUAUAUUCAUUAUGUUUGUUUUACAUCACUAAAUUAAUAUAUUCAUGCAUGUCAGCAUUUCCAUUAUUAUUCUCUUGAUUUCACUAUCUACUGAACUUUGUUCUGUGGAAAAAUUUAAAGUUCUAUUUUUAGGAAAAAAAUCAAAUAAAUAAUAAAAGAACAAUGUCAAAGAUGCUCUUCUAGCUAUGCUAGACACAAUUUUUCCCCCAAGACAGAUUCCAAUACUUAUUUUUAGUCCCUAGAUUUGGCAUUACUGUACAUCAAGGGAGUUACACUGCUGUACAUUACGGGAGUAUUUCUCCUAUUAUUUGCUGUUUUGGUAGACCACAGUAAUUAAGUAAGAGCCACUGUGGUCUCUUGGGGAGACAGGGAUUGGAUUUUUAAAAAGCUUUUGAAUACAAGUGUAUUUGAUAAUGUCCUGUAUAUAAAUAAUUCAUAUACUUGGCUGAGUGGUUGUUCUCUUUUGAGGAAAACUUUGUCAUCUUUUAAUGCCUGUUUCUAGUCUGAAGGAGUGGAAGAGACAUGAGAGGAGACGAAAAAGGUGCAUGAAAGAGAGAUAAAUUUACUCUUAGUUACACUAGUGACCAACAACCCCAAAAAACCC